UACGAAGGGGGCUAGCGUUGUUCGGAUUUACUGGGCGUAAAGCGCACGUAGGCGGAUCGUUAAGUUAGGGGUGAAAUCCUGGAGCUCAACUCCAGAACUGCCCUUAAUACUGGCGAUCUCGAGUCCGGAAGAGGUAAGUGGAACUCCUAGUGUAGAGGUGGAAUUCGUAGAUAUUAGGAAGAACACCAGUGGCGAAGGCGGCUUACUGGUCCGGUACUGACGCUGAUGUGCGAAAGCGUGGGGAGCAAACAGG
rnacentral:rRNA from 1 species